rnacentral:rRNA from 1 species
CCGACUCCUACGGGAGGCAGCAGUGAGGAAUAUUGGUCAAUGGUCGAGAGACUGAACCAGCCAAGUCGCGUGAAGGAAGACGGCUCUAUGAGUUGUAAACUUCUUUUGUACAGGAGUAAAGUGAGACACGCGUGUUUUAUUGCAAGUACUGUACGAAUAAGCAUCGGCUAACUCCGUGCCAGCAGCCGCGGUAAUACGGAGGAUGCGAGCGUUAUCCGGAUUUAUUGGGUUUAAAGGGUGCGUAGGCGGCCUGUUAAGUCAGCGGUGAAAUCUAGGGGCUUAACUCCUAAAUUGCCAUUGAUACUGGUGGGCUUGAGUGUAGAUGAGGUGGGCGGAAUGCGUGGUGUAGCGGUGGAAUGCAUAGAUAUCACGCAGAACUCCAAUUGCGAAGGCAGCUUACUAAGGUACAACUGACGCUGAAGCACGAAAGCGUGGGUAUCAAACAGGAUUAGAUACCCUGGUAGUCCACGCACUAAACGAUGAUAACUGGGCGUAUGCGAUAUACAGUAUGCUCCUAAGCGAAAGCGUUAAGUUAUCCACCUGGGGAGUACGCCGGCUACGGUGAAACUCAAAGGAAUUGACGGGGGCCCGCACAAG